rnacentral:rRNA from 1 species
UACAGAGGGUGCGAGCGUUAAUCGGAAUCAUUGGGCGUAAAGCGCACGUAGGCGGUCCAGUAAGUCGGGUGUGAAAGCCCUCGGCUCAACCGAGGAAGUGCAUUCGAAACUGCUGAACUUGAGUAUGGAAGAGGGUCGCGGAAUUCCCGGUGUAGAGGUGAAAUUCGUAGAUAUCGGGAGGAACACCAGUGGCGAAGGCGGCGACCUGGGCCAAUACUGACGCUGAGGUGCGAAAGCGUGGGGAGCAAACAGG